UCCUUAUUUUUUCGCUUCACUUUAGAGUGCGCUUUUGUAAUAAAGCGCCCUCUAAGGUGCGCUGUCUAUUCCAGUUUUUGGCGUAGUGCAAAAAAAAUUCGAUAAAAUGAUGAAAUAUCUAAAAUAAUAUUUUAAGAAUAACUAUUCAAAUCAAAUUUUCAUUUGAAGCUUUUAUGAGUGAUAUUAAAAUAUAUAACACUAUAACAAUUAUUUAAAA
rnacentral:lncRNA from 1 species